rnacentral:rRNA from 1 species
GAUGAACGCUGGCGGCGUGCCUAACACAUGCAAGUCGAACGGAGUCGUUUUGGAAAUCUCUUCGGAGAUGGAAUUCUCGACUUAGUGGCGGACGGGUGAGUAACGCGUGAGCAAUCUGCCUUUAAGAGGGGGAUAACAGUCGGAAACGGCUGCUAAUACCGCAUAAAGCAUUAAAUUCGCAUGUUUUUGAUGCCAAAGGAGCAAUCCGCUUUUAGAUGAGCUCGCGUCUGAUUAGCUAGUUGGCGGGGUAACGGCCCACCAAGGCGACGAUCAGUAGCCGGACUGAGAGGUUGAACGGCCACAGUGGGACUGAGACACGGCCCAGACUCCUACGGGAGGCAGCAGUGGGGAAUAUUGCGCAAUGGGGGAAACCCUGACGCAGCAACGCCGCGUGAUGGAAGAAGGCCUUCGGGUUGUAAAGAUCUUUAAUCAGGGACGAAACAAAUGACGGUACCUGAAGAAUAAGCUCCGGCUAACUACGUG